rnacentral:rRNA from 1 species
UACGAAGGGGGCUAGCGUUGUUCGGAAUUACUGGGCGUAAAGCGCGCGCAGGCGGCUCUUCAAGUCAGGGGUGAAAGCCCAGAGCUCAACUCUGGAACUGCCUUUGAGACUGAAGAGCUUGAGUACGGGAGAGGUGAGUGGAAUUCCCAGUGUAGAGGUGAAAUUCGUAGAUAUUAGGAAGAACACCGGUGGCGAAGGCGGCCCACUGGUCCGGUACUGACGCUGAGGUGCGAAAGCGUGGGGAGCAAACCGG